CUACGGGAGGCUGCAGUGGGGAAUAUUGCACAAUGGAGGAAACUCUGAUGCAGCAACGCCGCGUGGAGGAUGACACUUUUCGGAGCGUAAACUCCUUUUAUAUAGGAAGAAGAUGACGGUACUAUAUGAAUAAGCGCCGGCUAACUCCGUGCCAGCAGCCGCGGUAAUACGGAGGGCGCAAGCGUUACUCGGAAUCACUGGGCGUAAAGAGCGUGUAGGCGGAUUAAAAAGUCAGAAGUGAAAUCCUAUAGCUUAACUAUAGAACUGCUUCUGAAACUCUUAAUCUAGAAUAUGGGAGAGGUAGAUGGAAUUUCUGGUGUAGGGGUAAAAUCUGUAGAGAUCAGAAGGAAUACCGAUUGCGAAGGCGAUCUACUAGAACAUUAUUGACGCUGAGACGCGAAAGCGUGGGGAGCAAACAGGAUUAGAUACCCUUGUAGUC
rnacentral:rRNA from 1 species